GACGAACGCUGGCGGCGUGCUUAACACAUGCAAGUCGAGCGGUAAGGCCCUUUCGGGGGUACGACGAGCGGCGAACGGGUGAGUAACACGUGGGUGACCUGCCCUCAGCUCUGGGAUAAGCCUGGGAAACCGGGUCUAAUACUGGAUAUGACUCCAUGACGCAUGUUGUGGGGUGGAAAGCCUUGUGCGGCUGAGGAUGGGCCCGCGGCCUAUCAGCUUGUUGGUGGGGGAUGGCCUACCAAGGCGACGACGGUAGCCGGCCUGAGAGGGCGACCGGCCACACUGGGACUGAGACACGGCCCAGACUCCUACGGGAGGCAGCAGUGGGGAAUCUUGCGCAAUGGGCGAAAGCCUGACGCAGCGACGCCGCGUGAGGGAUGACGGCCUGGU
rnacentral:rRNA from 1 species